UUUAUUCAAUGUUUCGUUUUGGAUAAUAAUUGUUUUUUUACAACAACAAACAUAGCAGUGACUUCGAGUGCCAGAUAACAUAUAACAAAAUCUAAGGUAAUCUGCAGAAAAUGUAUUUCUUUUUUUUUUCUGUCAAACCAAUGAUUCUUAUAAACCAAUUAAUUAGUAUUUGGUACAAAAGAAUCUUAGCUAAACCGUUUUCCAAAGCAAUAGAGAGUCUCUAAGAAGAGUGAUAUCAGAAAUAAUUCCGUGAAUCUCUAAGAAGCAGGUUUCCUCUGCGAUUGCUGACACAAAUUGCUUAGAGUCCAAUUUGAAAUUAUUCGAUUGAGUCUGAGAGACAACGCUGAUCUAUUGCCUUCCUCAUUGCUAGCCUCUCGGCUACAAGGGGCGAAUUCAAAAAUGAGAUCAGUUACUGUGAGAUGUGAUCAUCUCUCCACUGGUGCUGUAGAAGCUCCACGCUAAAGCGGAUGCCAAGAUACAAGGUUUCCUAGCUGCAUCUGAUCUACAGGUGAGUUCCUCGAGUCGAGUCUAGAGGCGCUCGAUCGGCCUAGGUCUGAUCCGAUCUUUGAAGACUAUUUGAUUUCUGGUGGAUCAAAUUGUUCAUAAGAUCCAAGCUCCUAGUUGGAUGAUUGAGAUAUUUGUUUGGAGAAGAAGAAUCUGACGUAAGACCAAAUUAAGUCAAGAAUCUGCGGUUUUCGCCAAGAAGGUGUCUACGUUUCUUGAGAAUGGUACCAUCUCCCAAAUCUGCCUUGCAAAAGUGAUGUGGUUUCCGCAGAAAAUGUAUUUUAUAAAUAAAAAUUGUGAUAUUUAAAUAGAUAAUAUACCUGACAGGUUAUGUCCUAAAUCGAAAAAGUUGUCUUGUACAUCCUCUUGUACAAUUAAUUUAUUGGUUUCUAAAAUGAUAGCAAACUAAUAUGGAUUAA